GCUGGGUUUGGAUCCUCCGGUAUUGCUGGUCCCUGAAGCAGCGGCAGUGCGUUCCUGGUGCGGGCUUGGGGCGCGGUGGGCGGACUGAUGCCGUGGCCGCGGAGGGUGAGCGGGAAGGGCCCUGGUCAGCGGCAGCGGUCACGCGAAGCUACAGGUGACAGAGAUUCCGAGGCCAUGAAGACCAGCUAAUCACAUUUGCAGGUGCUGUGAGCCCGGGAGGGUCGCCAACACACAAGGUAUCAGGCUCCAGAUCAACACAAUGGCUUGGAACAAUGGGCAAAAACCAACUCAGGAAGAAACAGCUGUUUGAAACUCCAAGAGAGCGAGAGAGAGAACAUGUACAUGCAUGAGCAGACGUGAGCGGCAGAGGGAGACAGAGAGACAGAAUUCCAAUCUGGCAGG